CUCGCAACUUACAAGACUUAAAGGAUCUGCUGCCAGUUAGCAGAGGACACCUUCAGAAGUCUUGUGGAGUCCAUGCCUCAACAGGAAGAGGAGCACCCGCUGAGACCUGAAACACAGAAAAAUAAGAAAAACCUAGUGUGACAAAUUGUGGUGGCGUGAUCAUUCUAUGAGGAGGGAUCUUCGACGAUAAACCAUAAACAUUUUCUU